GUGCUCGCUUUGGCAGCACAUAUACUAAAACUGGAACGAUACAGAGAAGAUUAGCAUGACCCCUGCACAAGGAUGACAUGCAAAUUUGCGAAGCGUUCCAUAUUUUU
rnacentral:snRNA from 1 species